rnacentral:rRNA from 1 species
GACAGAGGUGCCGAGCGUUAGGCGGAAUCACUGGGCUUAAAGCGUGUGUAGGCGGGUGCCUAAGUAACUUGUGAAAUCCCACGGCUCAACCGUGGAACUGCUUGGUAUACUGGGUAUCUUGAGCCACUUAGGGGCAACCGGAACAAACGGUGGAGCGGUGAAAUGCGUAGAUAUUGCUCGGAAGGCCAGAGCCGAAGGGGCCCUACUGGUGCGCAACUGACACUGAGGCACGAAAGCGUGGGGAGCAAACAGG